CAAUAGCGUAUAUUAAAGUUGUUGCGGUUAAAAAGCUCGUAGUUGGAUCUCGGCAGGCAGGGGGUGGUUCGCUCUUAGCGCUACUGCCCCAUUUGCCUGUGUGAUUGGCGGAGGUUUCGGGGUGCUCUUCGUUGAGUGACCCGGGGCGCCGUCAGGGUUACUUUGAAAAAAUUAGAGUGCUCAAAGCAGGCUUUUCACGCUUGAAUAUUCGUGCAUGGAAUAAUGGAAUAGGAACUCGUUUCUAUUUUGUUGGUUUUCGGAAAUCGAGUUAAUGAUUAAUAGGGACAAUUGGGGGCAUUAGUAUUCAGACGACAGAGGUGAAAUUCUUGGACCGUCUGAAGACUAACUACUGCGAAAGCAUUUGCCAAGAGUGUUUUCAUUAA
rnacentral:rRNA from 1 species